GGGAAUCUGCCCUUAGGUUCGGAAUAACAGUUAGAAAUGACUGCUAAUACCGGAUGAUGACGUAAGUCCAAAGAUUUAUCGCCUAGGGAUGAGCCCGCGUAGGAUUAGCUAGUUGGUGUGGUAAAGGCGCACCAAGGCGACGAUCCUUAGCUGGUCUGAGAGGAUGAUCAGCCACACUGGGACUGAGACACGGCCCAGACUCCUACGGGAGGCAGCAGUGGGGAAUAUUGGACAAUGGGCGCAAGCCUGAUCCAGCAAUGCCGCGUGAGUGAUGAAGGCCUUAGGGUUGUAAAGCUCUUUUACCCGGGAUGAUAAUGACAGUACCGGGAGAAUAAGCCCCGGCUAACUCCGUGCCAGCAGCCGCGGUAAUACGGAGGGGGCUAGCGUUGUUCGGAAUUACUGGGCGCAAAGCGCACGUAGGCGGCUUUGUAAGUUAGAGGUGAAAGCCUGGAGCUCAACUCCAGAACUGCCUUUAAGACUGCAUCGCUUGAAUCCAGGAGAGGUGAGUGGAAUUCCGAGU
rnacentral:rRNA from 1 species